CGUAAGCGGGAUCAGGUAAGGGUGAAAGGGUGCGGUAAGAGCGCACCGCGCGGCUGGUAACAGUCCGUGGCACGGUAAACUCCACCCGGAGCAAGGCCAAAUAGGGGUUCAUAAGGUACGGCCCGUACUGAACCCGGGUAGGCUGCUUGAGCCAGUGAGCGAUUGCUGGCCUAGAUGAAUGACUGUCCACGACAGAACCCGGCUUAUCGGUCAGUUUCACCU
rnacentral:RNase_P_RNA from 1 species